CAGCAGCCGCGGGAAUACGUAGGGUGCGAGCGUUAAUCGGAAUUACUGGGCGUAAAGCGUGCGCAGGCGGUUCGGAAAGAGAGAUGUGAAAUCCCAGGGCUUAACCUUGGAACUGCAUUUUUAACUACCGGACUAGAGUGUGUCAGAGGGAGGUGGAAUUCCGCGUGUAGCAGUGAAAUGCGUAGAGAUGCGGAGGAACACCGAUGGCGAAGGCAGCCUCCUGGGAUAACACUGACGCUCAUGCACGAAAGCGUGGGGAGCAAACAGGAUUAGAUACCCGCGUAGUCCCUGUCUCUUAUAC
rnacentral:rRNA from 1 species